UACGUAGGACGCAAGCGUUGUCCGGAAUUAUUGGGCGUAAAGAGCUCGUAGGCGGUUUGUCGCGUCGGAUGUGAAAGCCCGGGGCUUAACCCCGGGUCUGCAUUCGAUACGGGCAGACUAGAGUGUGGUAGGGGAGAUCGGAAUUCCUGGUGUAGCGGUGAAAUGCGCAGAUAUCAGGAGGAACACCGGUGGCGAAGGCGGAUCUCUGGGCCAUUACUGACGCUGAGGAGCGAAAGCGUGGGGAGCGAACAGG
rnacentral:rRNA from 1 species